rnacentral:lncRNA from 1 species
AAUGGCCCAUUGUUAGUUGAACCAAUGACAGGUCAGCACGGGCUUAACACAAUGUUCCAUGUCUCUCCAGCAGCAGCCUGCCUUCCCUUCCCUGGAUUCCAUCUGCUGUGCGAAACAAGAUCUGCAGUCAUUCCCAGGAAUAAAGGUAGCUUGGACCAGGGUGAAGAUGUGUGAUGGAGAAGAUCAUAAAGUCUCUCUAGAGCUGGGCUCAGGUAAAAUGCACCCUUUGCCUGUUUUUGUGAAGUUUUAUUGCUACACAACCACUCUUUUUCAUGUCCAUAUUGUCUAUGGCCACUUUCUCUCUGGAAUGGGAGAGAUAAAUACUUACCACAGGGUAAGUAUUUUAAACUUUUCUUUGAUAUACAAUGGAAAUCUCUCUUUUGAUCAGCUCAAGGCCAAAUAA